rnacentral:rRNA from 1 species
GGGCCAGACUCCUACGGGAGGCAGCAGUGAGGAAUAUUGGUCAAUGGGCGCAAGCCUGAACCAGCCAAGUCGCGUGAGGGAAGACGGCCCUACGGGUUGUAAACCUCUUUUGUCGGGGAGCAAAGCGAACCACGUGUGGUUCAUUGAGAGUACCCGAAGAAAAAGCAUCGGCUAACUCCGUGCCAGCAGCCGCGGUAAUACGGAGGAUGCGAGCGUUAUCCUGAUUUAUUGGGUUUAAAGGGUGCGCAGGCGGAGGUGCAAGUCAGCGGUCAAAUCGCGGGGCUCAACCCCGCCCAGCCGUCGGAACUGCCGGGCUAGAGUGGGCGAGAAGUAUGCGGAAUGCGCGGUGUAGCGGUGAAAUGCAUAGAUAUCACGCAGAACUCCGAUUGCGAAGGCAGCGCACCGGCGCCCUACUGACGCUCAGGCACGAAAGCGUGGGUAUCGAACAGGAUUAGAUACCCCGGUACG